rnacentral:lncRNA from 1 species
GUCUAUUUUCUUGCAUUAUAUACCACAGGUAUACCAUACCCCUUUAUUCCUACGUUUUUGCAUAUGUGGUGUAUACAUGACCAUAUAUUGGUCAUAUAUACACAUAUUUUAUACCUCCUACUGUAUAAUAAACUUCUAUUUUCUCAUAUUCACCAUAUAUUUUCUAUAUAUCUUUUCAUAUGGCCUUGAUCCUCCUGAGUUUUAGUCCAUUUGGACUUUUAGGAAGCUUGGGACUUGGUCUUAGAUAAAUGCUAAGGUACGGAGUCCCAUUGGAGUCGGAUCAAUAUCACAUGCCAAAAGGAAAGGAUAAAAAUUAAUAUAUGAAUCCGAACAAGAAUCAACCAAGGAAAUAACACGGAAACAUUCCAUAUUGAAUUUGAAAGAGAACAUAUAUACAGGUACGAAAAGGAUAUGUUUGUUAGGAAAUCAAAAUUAAAUACCCUUGGAAAUUGUACAUUUUAACUGAAAGUGGUUACUUGAACCAUGAAUCCAACAAGCACACAUUUAUUAAUCGUAUAACCGAAAUGUGCUUAAGAAAAAAGGUUAACUUUUUACUCAUGAUCAAAUAAAUUUCACUAAGAUACUGCCUCACAUUUUCAUAAAGCAUAUAUCAAAAUUCUCAAUUGAUUAAAAAUUAAAGAUAAGAGACAAAUAGGGACGCUAAAACAACCCUUCAACUCAAACUAUUUUAAACAUAUGUCAAACUCUAUCCAAUUAUAAAUACACAAUCAACAUUUAAGAGGAAACAGUAACAAAACAUCUUUAAAUACUAUACGGACAUGGCUAAGCCAUAGGAAAAAUAAACAAAAAUAAAAGCAAUGCCUUGAGUUCUAUCAUUUUCUUAACUGGUAAAGACACAAACAUUGAAUCCAUCAACACACUUAAACACCAAUGAGAUAAACAUUUCAAAACCGCCAAGAUUUACAUAACAAUGACAAAUACUCAAUAGUUGUCUUACAAAAAUCUUUCAAGAGUGAGAACACCUUGCAUAUAUAAGUAAAGCUGCAGAUUCACCAUCACCAUGAAAACAAGCAUCUGCAUAAACUUAGAAAAUCUUGAAUCUCUAUCAACAAAACACACCAAUAAUUGAAUUAGAACACAAUCUUUAGUCUUAGAAAUUUCAAGUAAUGUUUAUCAAUAUCCAUCCCGCGAGAAUAAAAGCAAAAAUAAUAAAAAUUCAAAAUUUCCAUACCAAUUAUGAAAAAAAGAAAUAGUAAAUAACACUGCAAACUAAAUGCUAAUACAACGGCAAAAUACAAGAAUCAAAUCAAUCACUCUAAGAUGAAUAAGAAACCACACAAUUUAAUCAUAUGAAACCUAUGUCCUUCCAAGCCUUCUAUCGCAAAUCCCACCAUCAAUAUGCUUACGAAUGAAAAACACUAACACAGAGCAUGAAAAUAAUAAAUAUUAAAUAAAUUAAAAGAGAAAGAUGAGUUUACCUUUUUUUGAACAACAAAUGGUAUAACAAGCCUUAAUCAAACUGACUUUCACCAUCGAAGUUCUGAUUACCCUUGCCAAAGUUCAACAAUUUUUUUGGAAUCUAAUUUUUGCAGUGAGUUCGUCGAGA